ACUCCUACGGGAGGCAGCAGUGGGAAUGAUUGCACAAUGGGCAGCAAGCCUGAUGCAGCCAUGCCGCGUGUAUGAAGAAGGCCUUCGGGUUGUAAAGCACUUUCAGUCGUGAGGAAGGUAGUGUAGUUAAUAGCGGCAUCAUUUGACGUUAGCAACAGAAGAAGCACCGGCUAACUCCGUGCCAGCAGCCGCGGUAAUACGGAGGGUGCGAGCGUUAAUCGGAAUUACUGGGCGUAAAGCGCAUGCAGGUGGUUUGUUAAGUCAGAUGUGAAAGCCGGGCGUCAACCUCGGAACUGCAUUUGAAACUGGCAGACUAGAGUACUGUAGAGGGG
rnacentral:rRNA from 1 species